CGCUCAGCUCUCUAAAUUGACUCAGGUCCAGGGGCUGAUCUGAAUGCACUACAACAGAGGAUUCACUAUCUCAUGGCUUCCUGUUAGUUUCAACCUAAGAGAUCCAAGAGUGGUCCUGAGACAAUGAGUGGCUGGUGCAAGAGUAUGAAAGCCCAACUCCCUCGCUCCAUCUUAGGACAAUUUCUGAGCUCCUGAUUUUCUGUGUUCCUGAUUUUCCCUGUGGGGUCAACUGAUAUUAUUCUGCACAGAGGAUUCAGUACAAAAAAACGUGUGGCUACCUUCUUCAAAAAGCAGGAACAAAGUGCUAUUAGAGGACUAAAGAACUUACUUCUCAGCUUCUGGGAAUGCUGACAG
rnacentral:lncRNA from 1 species